GCAUUUUGCACAGUCCAGGAGCCAUUUUGCAUAGUCCAAGUGUCAUUUCGUAGGGUCCACAUGUAGUAGGGCAUGAUUGAAUGGCUAGGAAGGCUUGCGAGCAUGAUCGGACAGCCAUGGGAGCUUGUAGGGUUGAUCAAGUGGCCAGAAGGAUUUCUCGAGUCCUAUUAAGAAUUCAAUUUUGACUAAGACUCAUUUUGAGCCCUAUAAAAAUGGC
rnacentral:lncRNA from 1 species